rnacentral:lncRNA from 14 species
GAGAACAGUGGUCCAGGAGAAUCAGGCAGUCUGUGGCUUCCUGGAGCACCGCACUCUUAGCAGCCUCAGUUGUGGGGAUCGUGUCCCUGGCUAUAUCACAUAUCAGUUUCAGGAGAGCCUUCAGUAAGACCACAACUCUGCAGGGAAUUCUGGAAUUGGGAAGAAAAAAUUCAUAUUCCAAACUGAACGAUAGAUAAACUUGGACAAAACUUGGUUCAGGCAUGGGCAAGCUGAAGUCAAAUGAUAUUUGUAUCACCUUGCUGAAAACAAGACCUUCCUGUUAAUUCUACCCCACUCUUCCUGCAUACACACACUGGGAUGUUGAAGAAUACUGGAACGAUCUGGAAGCAGGAACAGGUCGACCUCUGGCCAGAUUUAGAGCAGCCAGGGCUACAGUAAGGCCCUACCAAUAACCAACAAAACCAGAAAACCUGUUUUCUGCCGAGGCUUCAUUCCCAGCAUGAGCUGAGGGUGGGGGAGGGCAAAUCUGCUUACCAUACCCCCUUGUUUUUAAUCAGAGAUGAGGAGAUACCCUGCAGUCACGGGACUUUAGGCCUGGGCUUAAAGUGAUUUGCCUGCAGGUAGUGAGUGGCAUGUGCUUAUAAUCCCAGCAGUUAGGACAUGGAAGCAGGAGAUCUACAACUUGAGCUUUACUACAGAGCAAAACUUAAGUGUCAAUAUUAA